UCUCUCUCUCUUUCUCUCUUUCUCUCUUUCUCUCUCUGUUUUUUCAUGUCAAUCCCUUUUUGUUAAAUUGAUUCACAGAUGACCAUUCAAAGGUAGGACUUCUCAAGAACUUCCCUGAAGCAAAUACCAAAUUACGGCUGUUCAAGGCUGAUAUCUAUAACCCAGAUGAGUUCAAUCUCCCCAUCCAGGGCUGCGAUUUUGUGUUCCAUCUGGCCACUCCCUAUCAAAACAGCACCCAGAGCUCUCAAUACAAAGACACAACUGAAACAACCGUAGCAUCAGUGGAGAACAUAGUGAAGUCCUGUUUAUGAUCAGGAACAAUAAAGAGACUCAUAUAUACUGCCACGGUGAUGGCUGCAUCACCAUUGAAAGAAGAUGGUUCUGGUUUCAAGGACUCCAUGGAUGAGUCUUGUUGGACACCUCUUGAUCUCCCAAAUGAUUAUUACCGUUCCAAGGGCUUGAAGUAUUAUA